rnacentral:rRNA from 1 species
GAUGAACGCUGGCGGCGUGCCUAAUACAUGCAAGUCGAGCGAACGGACGAGAAGCUUGCUUCUCUGAUGUUAGCGGCGGACGGGUGAGUAACACGUGGAUAACCUACCUAUAAGACUGGGAUAACUUCGGGAAACCGGCGCUAAUACCGGAUAAUAUUUUGAACCGCAUGGUUCAAAAGUGAAAGACGGUCUUGCUGUCACUUAUAGAUGGAUCCGCGCUGCAUUAGAUAGUUGGUAAGUUAACGGCUUACCAAGGCAACGAUGCAUAGCCGACCUGAGAGGGGGAUCGGCCACAUGAGAACUGAAACGCGGUCCAGACGCCUACGGGAGGCAGCAGUAGGGAAUCUUCCGCAGUGGGCGAAAGCCUGACGGAGCAACGCCGCGUGAGUGGUGAAGGUCUUCGGAUCGUAAAACUCUGUUAUUAGGGAAGAACAUAUGUGUAAGUAACUGUGCACAUCUUGACGGUACCUAAUCAGAAAGCCACGGCUAACUACGUG